rnacentral:rRNA from 1 species
AUUGAACGCUGGCGGCAGGCCUAAUACAUGCAAGUCGAACGAGUGGCGGACGGGUGAGUAAUGUCUGGGAAACUGCCUGAUGGAGGGGGAUAACUACUGGAAACGGUAGCUAAUCCCGCAUACCAUCAGAUGUGCCCAGCUGGGCUUAGCUUGUUGGUGGGGUAACGGCUCACCAAGGAGACGACCCCUAGCUGGUCUGAGGGGAUGACCAGCAACACUGGAACGGAGACACGGUCCAAACUCCUACGGGAGGCAGCAGUGGGGAAUAUUGCACAAUGGGCGCAAGCCUGAUGCAGCCAUGCCGCGUGUAUGAAGAAGGCCUUCGGGUUGUAAAGUACGUUCAGCGGGGAGGCGUUACCCGAAGAAGAAGCACCGGCUAACUCCGUGCCAGCAGCCGCGGUAAUUC